CGGACGGGGGAGUAAUGUCUGGGAAACUGCCUGAUGGAGGGGGAUAACUACUGGAAACGGUAGCUAUACCGCAUAACGUCGCAAGACCAAAGAGGGGGGACCUUAGGGCCUCUUGCCAUCGGAUGUGCCCAGAUGGGAUUAGCUAGUAGGUGGGGUAACGGCUCACCUAGGCGACGAUCCCUAGCUGGUCUGAGAGGAUGACCAGCCACACUGGAACUGAGACACGGUCCAG
rnacentral:rRNA from 1 species